GUGUUCUCAAAGAAUUCAGACUAUCUCCUCUUCUGCCAUAAUUAGAUUUACAGGACUAACAGGAUGAAGGCCUGGGAGACAUUGUUGAUGAAGAAGACUGAGGGAAACAAUGCAAUGGAUACCUCAGCCCUAUCUGUAUCUGCGGUCACAAAGUCCCCCACCCCAUUCAGCAAAGAGCCCACAUUUUCCUUGUUCAGCCUUUUACUACUUAUGUAGCAACAGAAGCUCCUCUUUUUGCCCUUGAUAUCCCUGUGGCAUGGCAGUGAGCUGGAGACCUGUGAGGGAGAGCAGCAAUCCCAGGGCAGCAGCUGAACUUGCAUGUGUGGUGGGGAGAGACUUCCAGAUGAUGUGGCAGGAGGGUGAAGCUGAGGAGAGAAUACAGGAAGGAGAUUUGCAGGGGACUACUGAGAAGAGCAGGAAAAAAAACCCAGACAGGACAUGUAAAUAGAGACAUUUUCUUGGUGGUGGAUGAAAUUAUGCCAAAUUUUGUGAGAAAUGAGCUGACUAGCUAAGUUUGGUAACAAGGAUAAGGAAAUAAAAAUGUGUUUACAAGCCCUUUUCUCUUUUUGUUCCAUUUUACUAGGUCUCUAUUCUUAAAAGGCUAGUUAUUCCAACUUAUUCUCUAAUAAAAACUUGAGGGGGUUUUGAGUUAGAAAACUUUCUCGUCUCAAGGGAGCUUGCUAAAGGAGAUGCAGAUGCACCUUAAAGUGGUGCCUGAA